rnacentral:rRNA from 1 species
AAUGAACGCUGGCGGCAUGCCUAACACAUGCAAGUCGAACGAGACCUUCGGGUCUAGUGGCGCACGGGUGCGUAACGCGUGGGAAUCUGCCCUUGGGUUCGGAAUAACAGUUAGAAAUGACUGCUAAUACCGGAUGAUGUCGAAAGACCAAAGAUUUAUCGCCCGAGGAUGAGCACGCGUAGGAUUAGCUAGUUGGUGAGGUAAAGGCUCACCAAGGCGACGAUCCUUAGCUGGUAUGGGAGGAUGAUCAGCCACACUGGGACUGAGACACGGCCCAGACUCCUACGGGAGGCAGCAGUGGGGAAUAUUGGACAAUGGGCGAAAGCCUGAUCCAGCAAUGCCGCGUGAGUGAUGAAGGCCUUAGGAUUGUAAAGCUCUUUUACCCGGGAUGAUAAUGACAGUACCGGGAGGAUAAGCUCCGGCUAACUUCGUGCCAGCAGCCGCCGUAA